rnacentral:rRNA from 1 species
UACAGAGGGUGCGAGCGUUGUCCGGAAUCACUGGGCGUAAAGGGCGCGUAGGUGGCGCGACAAGUCAGUGGUGAAAGUUCGACGCUCAACGUCGAAUCGGCCACUGAUACUGUUGGGCUUGAGCACUGUAGAGGCUAAUGGAAUUCCGGGUGUAGCGGUGGAAUGCGUAGAGAUCGGGAGGAAGGCCGGUGGCGAAGGCGGCGCUCUGGAACAUUUCUGACGCUGAGGCUCGAAAGCGUGGGGAGCAAACAGG